CUGUGUCACCUGCGGGAGAAGACGACGUGAGCGCAGAGGGCACCUAGCGGGGGCCCUCCGGGGGGGGGCAGGGGAGACCCGGGAGGGGGCGCUGGUCAGGUUCCCGGCCCAGUGCCCGACUGCCAGGCCUUCAGCACAAACUGCACGAAGUCAAGACUUUCUGGGUUGACCAGAACCCGGAGCAUGCCUGCGGGCAGGGGGCAUCGCCAACCUUCUAAGUUGACCGCUGGCGCCCCCACCUCUGGAGGCUGCCACCACCCCUCUGCAGCCACCCUGCCCAGGAAUGGUCCCGGCCACGUGGCCUCCCUGGACGCGCAGUGCCCUGCUCUAGGACAAGCAGGGCUCAAGGAAGAGACGGGACGGUUAUGGAGUUCAGAGGCAGAAGCCAGGAAGAGGCAGGAGAGCAGCUGAAGCACCAGACGGAGGCCCUGCCCACGCAGUGUUUUCCACAAGCUCACUUCUAGUCCCCAGAACAUCCCGAGAAAGCCCAGCAUAUGCGUAAAGAAAAUGCUGCACGGGCCGCCAGACUUGCUAGAACACCCGGCCGUGCAGGCAUGGACCGCCUCUCCCCAGCUGGACAAGGAGGUCCUGCUUCGGUUGAAAUGAAUGGGAAAGCAUCCUGCGCGAGAGCCCCUCCUGUGCUGGGGGAAAGUUUUGCUUCCUGUUUCCUCCCAAGUGCCCACCAGACACCCAAAGGAAACGUGAAAUGAGCCCAAAACCUUGCACAAAGGGGUGAACCCUCUUCCCUGUGGAAGGUAAAGGGGGGACAGCACCUUCUUGGGCCCAGCAAGAAGGCCCUGAAGCACCUGCAGAAUAGGUGCCUCACCCCUGCCCCCUCCCCUCCCAGCCCUGCCUUACCCCCUCACCCCCCACCAACAACCCCUGCCGUCUCUGGCCUCCUCUCCUGAGAGAGGUGCUGGGCUGGCUGGCUGGCUGGUGGCCUGCCCCUCCGCUUCCCUGUACCCUUUCCCUGAGCUCCUCUUUGUAUGAGGCUGAAAGGGACCCGGUGCUCUUCUCCUGGACUCAGUUCUGUCACAUGGACUUUUCCCAAAGCCCCGGGGCCUUUAGGGGAGAAAAACAGAUGUUCCUUACCCACGCAGCCCCCACCCAGCCCUGUGCUCAGUUCCCUCUGAGCUCAAGACUUGGAUUCAUAGGCUGAGCACGUGGGUUAAAGAAAUCCUCAAACAGCUCUGGAUCCUGACAUCUCAGCUGGAUAAGCUGAGACUCACACGGGUCUCCUAAGAAACGUGCAGCUGGAAAAGAGGCUUAGAAGCAGGAACAGUUGCUGGAGAGAGUCUGCAGAAGUUCAGGUCCAGAGGCAGAGAGGCAGCUGGCUAGGGGAGAGGAGCUAGGAGAGAGCAGGUGUCAGGUGGGGGGCGGGGUCAGGAGUUACAUGUGCGUGGACUCAGGGAGGGUCGUGUGGAGCUGUUCCUCGGGGCCAUCAGCCUGCAGAAAGGAGUCCACGGACUUGUUGCUGAGGCGGAAGGGCGCCAGGCGGCGGAAGUUGCCGGGAGAGCAGGGGAUCUGCACACGGGCCCUCUGGGAGGGCACCACCGUCUCCCCUGGGGACAGCCAGGGUGGCACCCUGGAGAGGAUGCUCAGGUCCUCAUCCGGGGAGAACACAGGGUUGUCAAUUCCUAGGAGAAAGGGCAGCGGCUGGUCAGAUUCCCAGGUGAGCCUGGGACAGCAGGGAGGGAGGAUGCGGCCCUGGGGGUCAGACACCAGCUCGUCCCGCAGCCGACACCUGGAAGGUCACCUGGGAGGUCUUUGGGGUUCCAUGCUUUGCACUCUAUUCUGUCUCUCCAUAUGCAGCAGGCAGGGCACAUGACCGCUCCCUUCUCUGGAGCAGAGACCCCCACUCCCAACUCACACCCCACGUGGACCCAGCACUAGGCCUCCCGGGUCCUGCAGUCCCCAUCAACGACCAAUGACCAUGUUCACGUCUGGGGCCCAAGGAGGACUGGCCCCACCCCUCACCUGAGGGGGAGUCUGUCGCUGUGGUGUCUUGCGUGAUGUUUGCCAGGAACUCGAUCCCCCCACCCAUUUCAGCACCGUAGUCCGGGGCCUCCUCUGGGUCUGAGAGUUCCAAAUCUGGUGGCAAGGGAGGGCAGCAUGAGGGAAGCGGGCUAAGCACACAGACAUCCCGUGUAGUGCCCUUGACUGACACCCUUGGCCGGCUUGCAGAGCACCCCCAGGGCGGUCAUCACGUCACCCCAUCAGGGCAGCUUGCUGGGUGGCAGUGCCCGGAAGGCCAUGCCAGCACAGGGCUGGGCAAAGCAAACCCACGCCAGGAGGGUUUCCCUCCUACCCAGGAGCCACGGUAACUGUCCAGCCCUCCUCCCCCUGCUCCGCCUCCUCAGCCACCCUGGCCUUCUGGAGGCAGGAGCACCCUGGAUAAUAGGGUCUGCUCAGAGGGGACACUCCUCUUGUAGCUAAAACGUGAGUGGGGACUGGGACAGGGGAUGUAGGGCCCACCUCCAGGGCACUGCCCACCCGAGUGGCUGAGCCCAAGGUGGAGCCAGUAGGACCCUGGUGAGGGUCCUGGCUGCCAAGGUCUCUCUCUCUCUGGCAGGAUAGCGCUCUGCACCCCUCCUGCCCCAUCGCAUGUGUCUCUGGGUCCUGCUGGCAAGCAUCCCACCAGCCCCCUCGCCCCCCGCAGUACCUUUCUCCUUAAUGGUGAAAUUGGGCAUGGGAUUCUCCAUGGGCAGUUUCCCGUUGGGAAUGCUGCUGUUUCUCUGAGAAACAAAAGAAACUGUUAACAGUGAGGGCACAGCUACACCUGGACCCCGACUGCCCCAACCGUUCCCAGAGGAGCCCCUGCUGGUGCUGCCUGGAGCCCUCCAGGGCCCCUCCUGCUCUGUGAGGGGGCUACAGCUUGGCCGACUUGAAGGACUCCAGGCGCUUCCGCAUGGUCCUGUGGAAGAUCUCCUUGUCCUGCUUCUCGUCUUCGUUUGGCGUUAGCUCAUGCCGACUGUACAGGGACUGCAUGUCCAGGCACACCGCGCUGACGUUCUCCCUCCUGCGUGGGGGCUGUGGUGAUCGCCCGCCCUGCCUGCCCUCCCCCCUUAGCCUGGGCGCCGCCGGGGUCCUGGGAGGCUAGUCCCGGGACUGACUUCCCGUGAGGCCUCCCCCCAGCACACACAGUGCUCCCUGCCCUCCUCACUCAUGCCCCUCGAGCCCGGCACCUGCGCACCAGCCGGCCGAGGCCCAGCCGUGCCGCACUGCAGAGGCAGGAGGGCCCCGCUUGCGCCGCCUUCUCUCGGUCUCCGGUCAGGCCAGACACUAGCAUUUCCUGCUGGUGCCUUUGUGCCCGUGGGCGCACCCUCCCUGGGGGCCAACCUGGGGGCCUCUACUCCAGCCACUUAUGACUCGCAGUCGCCCACUGGCUGGUGUCUGUCCAGAGGGGCCCUGCUGCCUAUGACCAGGAGGGCCUGGGGAGUGCAGGUCAGGUGAGACCCCUGCCCACAGCAGCCUUCCGGGGUCAUGGUGGGAGGGGCCCCGGCCAGGGUGGCCUCUUCUGGUGGAAGCCCGUGUGAACAGGAGCACGUACAGGAAGUAGGAGACAGAGGCCUCCACGGUUGAGGGCCGCGGAGUGCUGAAGUCCACGUUGACCAUGUUGUCGGUGCUGGGGGAGCGGAUGAAGGCCAGGGACCCACGGCGCUCUCCCUGUGGGGAGGAGACAGCCUGUGUCAGCCACACUGUGGAGUGCCUUGAAGCCAGGAGACCAGCGGCCCCUGGAGAGCUGAGGCCACAGGUAAGGCCUCAUGGAGCGGUUGGUGGCUGGUGGGUUGAAGAGGAAAGCGAAGACAGAACCAUGGGUCCUUUAACACAGACCCUCAGAGGGCACGGGACAUCAGGAAGCAUUGCAGCUCUCCAGAGGACUGGGGAGGUGUCCCCUGUCCCCACUGGGGACUCCCAACCAUCUGCCCUCAGUUGCCCUGAGAAGGGAACCCCCAGGCCUCUGUCCAGAAAUGAAUCAUAUUAAGAUUGGGUAGAGCCCAGCCCGACAUGAAUGAAAGCUGAAAACAGCCACUCUCCUUGGGUGGGAGGGUGGGGCCGAGUGCCAAGGGGGCCGCUGGAGGAGAAGUGGGGACUCCUCAGGUGAGGGCAUGGGGCUGUGAGGGCACUAGGGUCAGGGCCCCACGCGGCGGUGCAGGAGACCCAGAGGCACAGCCCAGGAGGGCGCACCACCCAGCUGCGGUCUGAGCGGGCAGAGCCAGUCCUCACUGGGGAGGAGCCCACGCCAUGGGCCGGGGGCACUCAGUGUUGUGGGCAUCGGGGGCCCUGCCAGCAGCCUGCAUCUCCCACGUGGGGGCUAGGGGCGCCGGAGUGUCCAAGGGAGACAGGACAGGAGAGAGGGACAUCACUGCACACACUGUCCCGGCACACACUGUCAGGACAGCCCCUCCUGCCCACCCAUCCAGGCUCGAAGGACAUGAAGGCCUCCGCAGUCCCAGAGGGCAGAGAUUUGAGCACUGAACUUUCCCAGCCUAGGGCCAGAGGUGCAGACAGCAGGUGACCUCGUCCCUCCCAGUGCCUGGAGCUGGUGGGCUGGGGUUUCAGGGGAGCAGCGUUGGCACGGCAUUAGCUCAGUAGAUGGUGUAGGGGCCCUUCUCUUUACUUAUCUCCCUGUGACCCUGCGUCCCUCUGUCUUGGAGUGACCCCUGGUUGUGUUGGGUCAUCAGGCUGUACGUUUGGUGUGUACAAGCCCGCUAGAAACAGGAAUCACUUUCCCCUCUGAAGGAAAAGAUGCUCCCAGGGCUCUGGCUACGCCCUCUGGAUGAGGUCCUUGGGAUUGGCUGAGAUGGACGUGCAGAUCCCUAGCUCGCCAGGCUCUGCAUAGGCCUGAGCUCGUGAGGCGCCAGGUGACCUCGGGGCCCAGGGGCCACGUGUGGGGAUACGCAUGGGGCAAAGGCCAAGUGAUUGUCACACGUGUGCACUGCCUGGAGACAUGUGGCCACUGGGGGGGGGGCAGCCAGACUGCGUGUCCAGGAGGAGUGGGGUUUGACCUGCAACCUGCAACGAGUGGCUGUGCCGGGCAUGCAGCACCAGAGACAGCAAGAUCCGGACAGUCACCAUGCAGCCCGCGUGGCAGGGCUAGUCCCUCAUCCUUCCACACGCUCCCCGAGCCCACUCACUGACCCUGCACUGGAUGCACCGGCCGCUAGUUGGUGGGGAGUCUUCUCUGGCCCAUCAGCCCCACAGACAUGGGGGCGGAUUCAUUACCUACCGUACUGUGGAUGCAGGAGAGCCCUGCUCACCUGCAGGGACCUUAGAACCACAGGUGUGUCCCCUGUUGACCCCACAGGAGGCAAGACAUCCUUGCUGCUUUCCCCUCUGUGUGCGUGGUUGUGCAUGUGCAGGCAUGCAUGAACAUAUGUGUGCACAUGUAUGUUGGGGCAUGAUUCCAUCAUUCCCUGGCUGGCCUUUGAUCUCAGACCCAGCAGACCACAGAGCGUCCUACAGAAAGCCGUGGGGGAGGGUGCUGUGUCUCUGCUCCCACAGCCACUCUCGAGGCGCCAGAGGACCCAGGAGCUUCGUGUCGUGAACUUGUCAGCAGCCCCAGCAUGGUGCUACCUGGGCCUCGGGGUGUGGGGGCCUUCCCUCCCUGGCCCACUGCCCGAGACCCCAGUGGCUGUCCACGUCCCAUGGCUGGGUGUUUCAGCCCCCAACUCCAACAAGAGAACAGACGGAAUGUUCUGGUACCUCAGCCACAUAGCUAAUGGCAUCUUUCAAGUUGAGUUCAUGGAAAACAUUCAGAAUCCGAUCUCGUGACUUCUGAGCUGACCUUCUCAUAAGGAUUUUGCUGAGGAAUUUCCUAUCAAAGUUGGACCACCUGGGGGGUCAAACCAACACGAUGUCAACCGAUGGACGGGGACCCUGGCAGCAUGGGGGGCCAUGCUGUAGGAGUCCCCCUCCCACUGCCCAGACUUGCAGGGGACAUGGUCUCCCAGGAACUGAGACACAGGAGACGCCCUCUCUCCCCCAACCCUGAGUUUUACUUACUGUAACAAGCACAAAGGUGAGAUUUAAAAUAAAAGGAAUAACUCUCA